rnacentral:rRNA from 1 species
UACGGAGGGGGCUAGCGUUGUUCGGAAUUACUGGGUGUAAAGGGUUCGUAGGCGGUGUGGCAAGUCGGGAGUGAAAUCUCUGGGCUCAACUCAGAGACUGCUUCCGAAACUGCUGUGCUGGAGUGUGGGAGAGGCGCGUGGAAUUGCAGGUGUAGCGGUGAAAUGCGUAGAUAUCUGCAGGAACACCCGUGGCGAAGGCGGCGCGCUGGACCACUACUGACGCUGAGGAACGAAAGCUAGGGGAGCAAACAGG